GCGCUCGAGGAUGGGCCUGCGUCGGAUUAGCUAGUUGGUGAGGUAACGGCUCACCAAGGCAACGAUCCGUAGCUGGUCUGAGAGGAUGAUCAGCCACACUGGCACUGAGACACGGGCCAG
rnacentral:rRNA from 1 species